rnacentral:rRNA from 1 species
AACUCGAGGACGUGGAUAACCUCGGGAAACUGACAAUAAACCACUAUAGAUCAUAGUGCCUGGAAUGGCUUAUGGUCCAAACAGUUUACUGCCAUGGGAUGGGACUGCGGCCUAUCAGCUUGUUGGUGAGGUAAUGGCCCACCCAGGCGACUACAGGUACGGGCUCUGACAGGAGAAGCCCGGAGAUGGGUACUGAGACACGGACCCAGGCCCUAUGGGGCGCAGCAGGCGAGAAACCUUAGCAAUGUGCGAAAGCACGACUGGGUCAGUCCGAGUGAUUCCUGAUAAAGGAGUCUUUUGCCUGUCCUAAAAGCACAGGUGAAUAAGGGGUGGGCAAGUCUGGUGUCAGCCGCCGCGGUAAUACCAGCACCUCGAGUGGUCAGGACGUUUAUUGGGCCUAAAGCAUCCGUAGCCGGCUCUGCAAGUCUUCGGUUAAAUCCACCUGCUCAACAGAUGGGCCGCUGGAGAUACUACAGAGCUAGGGAGUGGGAGAGGCAGACGGUAUUCAGUGGGUAGGGGUAAAAUCCUCUGAUCCAUUGAGGACCACCAGUGGCGAAGGCGGUCUGCCAGAACACGUUCGACGGUGAGGGAUGAAAGCUGGGGGAGCAUACCGGAUUAGAUACCCGGGUAGUCCCAGCUGUAAACGAUGCAAACUCGGUGAUGCAUUGGCUUAUGGCCAAUGCAGUGCCGCAGGGAAGCCGUUAAGAUUGCCGCCUGGGAAGUACGGACGCUAGUCUGAAACUUAAAGGAAUUGGCGGCGGAGCAC